rnacentral:rRNA from 1 species
AGUGAACGCUGGCGGUAGGCCUAACACAUGCAAGUCGAACGGCAGCACAGUAAGAGCUUGCUCUUACGGGUGGCGAGUGGCGGACGGGUGAGGAAUACAUCGGAAUCUACUUUUUCGUGGGGGAUAACGUAGGGAAACUUACGCUAAUACCGCAUCCGACCUACGGGUGAAAGCAGGGGAUCUUCGGACCUUGCGCGAUUGAAUGAGCCGAUGUGGGAUUAGCUGGUUGGCGGGGUAAAGGCCCACCAAGUCGCCGAUCCGUAGCCGGUGUGAGAGGAUGAUCGGCCACCUUGGAAGGGAGACACGGUCCAGACGCCUACGAGAGGCAGCAGUGGGGAAUGUGGGACAAUGGGCGGAAGCCUGAUCCAGCCAUACCGAGUGGGUGAAGAAGACCUUCGGGUUGUAAAGCCCUUUUGUGGGGAAAGAAAAGCAGCAGGUUAAUACCCCGCUGGUGUGACGGUACCCAAAGAAUAAGCACCGGCUAACUACGUG